AAGAAGAUAAUUUAAUGGCAAAAUAUUGAUCUCCAAAAUCAAUUUUAAGGGUUCGAUUCCCUUUCUUCUUG
rnacentral:tRNA from 1 species